AGUGAACGCUGGCGGCAGGCCUAACACAUGCAAGUCGAACGGCAGCACAAGAGAGCUUGCUCUCUGGGUGGCGAGUGGCGGACGGGCGAGGAAUGCAUCGGAAUCUGCCCAUUUGUGGGGGAUAACCUCGGGAAACCGGGACUAAUACCGCAUACGACCUACGGGUGAAAGCAGGGGAUCUUCGGACCUUGCGCAGAUGGAUGAGCCGAUGCCGGAUUAGCUAGUUGGAGGGGUAAAGGCCCACCAAGGCGACGAUCCGGAGCUGGUCUGAGAGGAAGAUCAGCUAGAUUGGGAGUGAGAAAGAGCACAGACACCUGCACUGAGACACAGUGGAGACUCUUACGGGAGGGGGGAGAGGCUAAUACAGGAAUGCGGCGUGAAGGAAGAAGGCCUUCUGGUUGUUGAGCACUGAUGUUGUGAGGGAAGUACAGCCGGUUAAUACCCGAUGAUAAUGACGGUACCGGGAGAAUAAGCACCGGCUAACUUCGUG
rnacentral:rRNA from 1 species